CCCUUAGAUGUUCUGGGCCGCACGCGCGCUACACUGACGAAUGCAACGAGCUUAUAACCUUGGCCGAAAGGUCUGGGUAAUCUCCAAAUUUCGUCGUGAUGGGGAUAGAUUAUUGCAAUUAUUAAUCUUCAACGAGGAAUGCCUAGUAAGCGCAAGUCAUCAGCUUGCGUCGAUUAAGUCCCUGCCCUUUGUACACACCGCCCGUCGCUCCUACCGAUUCGAGUGAUCCGGUGAACCUUUUGGACCGAGGCAGCUUGCUGUUUUGGAAAAUCAAGUAAACCACGUCACUUAGAGGAAGGAGAAGUCGUAACA
rnacentral:rRNA from 1 species